GAAUCUGGAGACAGGUGCUGCAUGGCUGUCGUCAGCUCGUGUCGUGAGAUGUUGGGUUAAGUCCCGCAACGAGCGCAACCCUUGCCUUUAGUUGCCAGCAGUUCGGCCGGGCACUCUAAAGGGACUGCCGGUGUUAAACCGGAGGAAGGUGGGGAUGACGUCAAGUCCUCAUGGCCUUUAUGACCAGGGCUACACACGUACUACAAUGGCCGAUACAAAGGGCAGCGACACUGCGAGGUGAAGCCAAUCCCGUAAAAUCGGUCUCAGUCCGGAUUGGAGUCUGCAACUCGACUCCAUGAAGUUGGAAUCGCUAGUAAUCGUGGAUCAGCAUGCCACGGUGAAUACGUUCCCGGGCCUU
rnacentral:rRNA from 1 species